rnacentral:tRNA from 1 species
AAGGGAGACCUAAUUCCGGUAGGAGACGAAAAAAAAGUAGUCCCAACCAAGAAUCAAUCCCAAAAGGUCGGAACGAGGUAUGAGGCUUUCAAACUAGGUUCUGGGUUCAUAAAAGACCUGAAUCAGGAACAAGGGCUAUUAGCUCAGGUGGUUAGAGCGCACCCCUGAUAAGGGUGAAGUCCCUGGUUAGAGUCCAGGAUGGCCCACCUGCACAGGUGGCAAAAACAAGAGAAGCUCCGAAUCAGCACCUUAUCUUAUAUACAUAUAUAAGAGAGAAUGCUGGCUCUGAGUAAAGAGUCCAGAGGAACCUUGAAAACUGCAUAGAGCUAGGUGAAAAAGCCAAAAAAGAAGACCGCAA